AUACGGAGGGUCCGAGCGUUAAUCGGAAUUACUGGGCGUAAAGCGCGCGUAGGUGGCUAUAUAAGUCAGAUGUGAAAUCCCUGGGCUCAACCUAGGAACUGCAUUUGAAACUGUAUGGCUAGAGUAUGGUAGAGGUGAGUGGAAUUUCAGGUGUAGCGGUGAAAUGCGUAGAGAGCUGAAGGAACAUCAGUGGCGAAGGCGACUCACUGGGCCAUUACUGACGCUGAGGUGCGAAAGCGUGGGUAGCAAACAGGAUUAGAAACCCUAGUAGUCC
rnacentral:rRNA from 1 species